rnacentral:rRNA from 1 species
GGACUACCCGGGUAUCUAAUCCUGUUUGCUCCCCACGCUUUCGUGCAACAGCGUCAAUAACCAGCCAGAUGGCCGCCUUCGCCACCGGUGUUCCUCCUAAUAUCUACGAAUUUCACCUCUACACUAGGAAUUCCGCCAUCCCCUCUGGUAUUCUAGCUCUACAGUAUCGAAAGCAAUUCUGGGGUUGAGCCCCAGGCUUUCACUUCCGACUUAUAAAGCCGCCUACGCACGCUUUACGCCCAAUGAUUCCGAGUAACGCUAGCUCCCUUCGUAUUACCGCGGCUGCUGGCAC